rnacentral:lncRNA from 1 species
CACCUCUCCUGGCUAUUUAUUUGUUUGGUAUGAAUAGAUGUUUUAAAAUAAUAUGAACCGGACCUUCAAGAGCCUUAAAUAGUUUGUUUCUUGGAUAAUUUAUUAUUAUCAUGUGAACUGUACUCACAGGGGAAAAGAUUAUUUUGUGAGGCCAAGCCACCCGCUCAGAGUCUAUUUUUCUACAUGCCCCUCGACCUGACUUUCAGAAAGCAGAAUUCUGUCCUCUCCACUCCUCCUUUGCAACGCUCCUGCUUUUCGGCAAGUGUAAACUAAAACAAGCUUCAUGGGGGUCCACAAAUUAUAUUUUUAUACACAGAAUUGUAAAUUAGAUUUUUGAGAGAUCAAUACUUAACUGAAUUACAUUUCAUUUUUGAAAUAGUG